AACAAAAGUCGUAAUGUGUGUAAAUGUGAUAGACUGUGGUAUUUAAAUGGCCAGCUGAGUCAGAUGCAUACAAAACAAUUUAAAUGCCCUGUUCGUCUCUCUGUUACGCCAUAAACAGAAAUUCAAGAUGUAAAUCGUAUCGUCGACUAUUUAUUAAUUGUGCGUGGGAAGAUGGGGGAGUUUUAUAUUUUACGAUAAUGCAUUUCAUCUAUAUUUUGCGUUAUGAAAUUGUUUAGUGUUAUGAGGAUUAAAUAUUUGUGACUACGAGUUCAUGAAGCCUGUCGGGUUAGGUAUUUGUGCUACGUGUGCGUGUUGAAAGGUUGACACCCCGCAUUGAUAUCUUUACUUCAAGCUCCAGUGAACAAGCCGUAAAGCAACAACAUCGCAACCCCGGGAACAACGGGAGAGGACAUGAUAAUCGAGGAUCGGGCCCGUAUUUCUAUUCUGCAGCGCCUACGCCGAGCUCAUUGAGUCGGUAACCAGCGUCCGACAUGGGGAAGGAGGUAAACGGUGUUUCACGGAGCCGGUUUGAGCUGACUGACUACUCAGAAGACUCAGGCCGUUUUACCUUCUGGCCCGACAGCUGCGGCCAAUCUGCUAAAGCUAGCUGGAAUUCGGAGUGGAGGAAACCGGAAAUGGUUUGUGCAGGCCUUCAAUAUAAAAGUACUUCUGUGAAGCAAAGUUUGAAGAGGAUAUACCGGACAAUAUUUCUUUUACAGACUUACUACUCUAACCCUUUCUGUACUUUCAUCAUUGUCUUUUUAAAAUAAUCAUUUUUGUUUGUUUUCAAAUUAAUUGCACAAUGAGUACGUGUUAAUUUACCUAAAUGAACACAAAUCUAUUCAUUCAUUGCAUACAUGCCCCUUGUCAUUUCAUGG